CCUACGGGCGGCUGCAGUGGGGAAUAUUGGACAAUGGGCGCAAGCCUGAUCCAGCAAUGCCGCGUGUGUGAAGAAGGCCUGCGGGUUGUAAAGCACUUUGGGCGGGGAGGAAGGCCGCCGGGCGAACACCCCGGGGGAUUGACGUUACCCGCAGAACAAGCACCGGCUAACUCCGUGCCAGCAGCCGCGGUAAUACGGAGGGUGCGAGCGUUGAUCGGAAUUACUGGGGGUAACCCGCGCGUUCGGGGGUGAAAUCCCCGGGCUCAACCUGGGAACUGCGCUGGAUACUGCCGGGCUGGAGUGUGGGAGAGGGGCGUGGAAUUUCCGGUGUAGCAGUGAAAUGCGUAGAGAUCGGAAGGAACACCAGUGGCGAAGGCGGCGCCCUGGACCAACACUGACGCUGAGGUGCGAAAGCGUGGGGAGCAAACAGGAUUAGAUACCCCGGUAGUC
rnacentral:rRNA from 1 species